AUGAUGGUGAGAGGACUUCUUGGAAGAGGGAACGAGGAGAGCAAAGAUACAGAGCUCUUUUCUGGACAUCCACCCAUCCCUCCUAAAACUGCAGAAAGUGUUUUGGGACGCAAAAUCUGCCCAGAGCCUGUCUGGAAAAGGAGAGGAUCACUAAACCAGUGGCUAUGGCUGACGGAAUUUUAUGGUAUUUUGUCUUACCAUAAAACUUAAACUUGGAGUUCCUAUUGUGGUGCAGCAGACACAAAUCCCACUAGGAACCAUGAGGUUGUGGGUUUGAUCCCUGGCCUCGAUCAGUGGGUUAAGGAUCCUGAGUUGCUGUGGCUGUGGGCAGGCUGGCAGCUGUAACUCCGAUUUGACUCCUAGCCUGGGAACGUCCAUAUCUGGUGAGUGAGACCCUAAAAAGCGAAAAAACCAAAACCAAAAACAAAAAAAAAACUUCAACUUACUUGUUUAAGUCUUUAAUCCAUUUUGAGUUUAUUUUUGUGUAUGGCGUGAGGGUGUGUUCUAGUUUCAUUGAUUUACAUGCAUGUGUCCAAUUUUCCCAGCACCACUUUCUGAAGAGACUUUCUUUUUCCCAUUUUAUAUUCUUGUCUCCUUUGUGAAGAUUAAUUGACCAUAGGUGUCUGGGUUUAUUUCUGCAUUCUCUAUUCUUUUUCGGUCUUUUCUAGGGCCACACCCACAGCAUACAGAGGUUGCCAGGCUAGGGGUCUAAUCGGAUCUGUAGCUGCCAGCCUAUGUCACAGCCACAGCAACUCGGGAUCCAAGCAACAUCUGCAACCUAUACCACAGCUUGAGGCAACAUCGGAUCCUUAACCCACUAGAAAGGCCAGGGAUCAAACCCACAACCUCAUGGUUCCUAGUCGGAUUUGUUAACCACUGAGACACGACAGGAACUCCUGGGUUCUCUAUUCUGUUCCAUUGGUCUGUAUGUCUGUUUUGAUACCAGUACCAUACUGUCUUGAUUACUGUAGCUUUGUAAUAUCACCUGAAGUCUGGGAGAGUUAUGCCUCCUGCUUGGUUUUUGUUCCUCAAGAUCGCUAUGGCAAUUCUGGGUCUUUUAUGGUUCCAAUUAAAUUUUUGAAUUGUUUGUUAUAGUUCUGUGA
rnacentral:lncRNA from 1 species